GGGAUAAUGUGUUGCAAACUAGACAGAACAACAUUAUACAGGUAGCAACCUUAGCGAGAUGGCUAGUUAGAAUGGAGUCACUGGCACCAUGACAGCUGAACACACACUGAUGGUUAGCGAGCUGGCUCCAGCAAUGGAAUCUCAGCACCACAACCACCGCUGUGAUCCCCGACACCCACAGCGGUAGCACCCACUGCUGGGUCACGAAAGGGCUGCCUGCUGCCAUGCCAGAACAGACACGCUGACUUCUCAGCUUCUGAACAACAAAACGAACAUCAAACGGGAAGCUAUUCAAAAAGCGUUUUAAUGAAAGUGUGUCAAAAGCGAACCUGUGCUCGGCAAGUUACUUCACCCUCAAAGCGUGUUGCGUUUUGUCUGUCGUUUGCUCCAUGUAGCUGCUGCAUUACAUCUGCAGAAACAUCGCACCGAUUUGCAAAAUGAUUUUGCUGAAGACAUGGACAAAACAGAAUAAGGAAAACCAAACUGCACGAACAUUGCUUCAGGUAGCAGUAAGGAACGUGCAUAUAGUAUUUCCUACUGUGGACAUAGCCUUUCACAUAACCACGACGUGUCAGUAAUCAACGCUUCUGGAGAACACUCUUUGUCCAAAAGCACAAUGGUUAAGAAAAUCAUACAAUCCUUAAUGAGACAAGAUGGACAAAGUCACCAAAUGCUGAUGUCCCUGGAAAGUGACAUUUUGGGCCUUGGAUUUUAGUAACCUAGUCGACGACGUUUCUUCCCGGAACAACAGCUUUCUAAAGACAAACGGGCUGCUGGGCCGUUCUGCUGUCACGCACUGUUGCCCCCAAAGACUCGCGCCCGAAAGGAAUUGCAGGAAAUUCCUCUCUCUCCUGGGCCUGUCGGAAGAGUCAUCAGCUGUGCUGACUCAGGAGCUGUAAGUGUAUAAUCGGAGUUGGAGCUGGAGAGGGAGGACUAGAACGUGAAUAUGAUAUUCAGGACCAGGGAGAGGAGACACAGGACCAGCUGCAUCAGUACUGCACCCAGCAGAGGAAGCAGUUUUGUAGCAGAGUUUGAGAAAGGAAUGCAGGGUUCCCAUGAAUCAGCGCACGCCUAUUAGCUUACCUGCUUCACAUUCAGAGGCCAUCAGCAGCCGGAAGACGCCAGGAGGGAAAAAGGAACUAAACCAUGAGGAAGUCCUGCUGGGAAUCAUUACAGCAGUUGGUACAUAUUGAGGAAGUCGGAGCCAUACACACAGACUGUCUGUUCCCAGGAGCAGACAGCUGUGACAGGGUGUGCUUCCUCCGCGACGCUGCAGACUCGGGCGCUGAUGUCCCAGUCCGCCACGCCGCUCACGUAAGCAAGCCACAGUGCGGCUGCUCCGGUUGGCCUCCUCUCCGCAAAGGACUCCACACAUUGCACCAAAAUGGAUUCCUGCCAUCAAACGAGAGUGGAUGAUGUUAGGUGGUCGCAACCUGCCAGGGAAAGACCGUGUGAAGAUGUUCAUGAUAUGAGGUGUCUGUUUGUUGAAUUUGACUUUAUUGAAUCAGUUAUGCACCCACACGCUUAUUUCUGCUGGGGUAAAAAAUGUGUCUCACUCAAAGUCUGCAGGGCCAGUCCUCAUUCUGAAAAAAAAAUAAAAAAUACGGCAGAGAGCUACUUGUGUUUGGUCUCCAGCUCAAAGCAAACCAGCAUCCCUGUGAUUGAAUGAUCUGCUCUGGUAUCAUGUGAAUGAAAACACUCUCUGUUUUUAAAGCAUUAUCUAAUCUCCAGAGGGUAGUUUGUCAAUGGGGGCACUUCACCUCCAGGAGAAGGAGGCGUUGAGCAGAGCCUACAGUGGGUAGA